UUGGUUAUACGUCUUUCAUUCCAUGACUAAACACAUGCGUAGCUCACCGCUUCACGCUUUGAUUUUAUCCAAAGCCUAAUAUGUACCUCUUCGUCUUCUCCAUUCUCAUCCUCUACUGUGAUGAAUUCGAGCAUGAAGGCAAAGAGGUUAAGAUCAAUUUCAGGAUUCGAAGCCGCACACCCAAUUUGUAGAAACAAGGUUAGGGAAAUAUCAGUUGUUAUUAUGUGAUCCGAAAAUGUUUUGGCACGAAUUGACAGGUUUGCUUAAUUGCUUCUUAUAAACUUUUGUAAAUUCUUCCAUACCUCCGUUUUACUUUUUAUUGUUGAGUGAAUCUGCGAAAGAUUUUGGUGUUGUUUAUUGCUAUGAAGAAAUUGACUUUGAUAAUAGAAGUUACACGUAGUUCCUAAACGAUAGUAAGAUUUAUAAAUACUAGGAUUAGUCUACUAACCUCUAGAAUUCAAAUUAUUGCAAAUGUUUGAGUAAAAUGAAUUUUACGAGUUGAGAAAUCAAUAGUAUAAUUGUAGCGAGGGACGUUCAUGUCACGAGUUUCAACUCUGACCUCGACCCGAAGUUGGGGAAAGUAUUUAAGUGGAAUCAUAACAGAGGGACAUGUGCAUACUCUUGAGUUUUCCCGACGAUCAAUGAGGUUUGCGUUGGAGUCCGCCCUGCCAUGAGACAGCAGGGUAAUGCUCCAUCAUCAGUGAUAUCCAGUCAUAGCAUGCAUCUUGGUGUCCUUGCUACAGCUUGGCAUGCCAUUCAGAGUUCACAGUAUAUUACAAACCAAGGUAAGUGAUUCAAAGAGCCAGGGAAAAAUAGUUUAAGCUUGUUCCAUAAAUUGAGAUCUAUAUGAUGAAUGGAUUUGACUUUGUUGCCUACUUAUUGCUCUGGGAUUUCCCUUCCUCGCCGCUUUAGUAUUACUUAUGUAUUAUAGGACAAGCUCUGCUGAGUUUAUAGUCCCAUAUGAUCAGUAUAUGGACUCUCUGAAAAACAAUUGCUCCAUCGGGAUGAGGUUUAAAAUGAGGUUUGAAGGUGAAGAAGCUCCA